GCGAAGGCGGCGGAAUUGGUAGACGCGCUAGCUUCAGGUGUUAGUGUUCUUACGGACGUGGGGGUUCAAGUCCCCCCCCUCGCACCA
rnacentral:tRNA from 1 species